rnacentral:rRNA from 1 species
CCGCGUGAGGGCGACGGCUUCGGGUUGUAACCUCUUUUAGCAAGGAAGAAGCGAAAGUGACGGUACUUGCAGAAAAAGCGCCGGCUAACUACGUGCCAGCAGCCGCGGUAAUACGUAGGGCGCAAGCGUUAUCCGGAAUUAUUGGGCGUAAAGAGCUCGUAGGCGGUUUGUCGCGUCUGCUGUGAAAUCCCGAGGCUCAACCUCGGGUCUGCAGUGGGUACGGGCAGACUAGAGUGCGGUAGGGGAGAUUGGAAUUCCUGGUGUAGCGGUGGAAUGCGCAGAUAUCAGGAGGAACACCGAUGGCGAAGCAGAUCUCUGGGCCGUAACUGACGCUGAGGACGAAAGGGUGGGGAGCAAACAGGCUUAGAUACCCUGGUAGUCCACCCCGUAACGUUGGGACUAGUUGUGGGGUCAUUCCACGGAUUCCGUGAC